GUGUCUAGAGACUCUCCAGAGGUAGGGUUUCAGGUGUCUAGAGACUCUCCAGAGGUAGGGUUUCAGGUGUCUAGAGACUCUCCAGAGGUAGGGUUUCAGGUGUCUAGAGACUCCAGAGGUAGGGUUUCAGGUGUCUAGAGACUCUCCAGAGGUAGGGUUUCAGGUGUCUAGAGACUCUCCAGAGGUAGGGUUUCAGGUGUCUAGAGACUCUCCAGAGGUAGGGUUUCAGGUGUCUAGAGACUCUCCAGAGGUAGGGUUUCAGGUGUCUAGAGACUCUCCAGAGGUAGGGUUUCAGGUGUUUAGAGACUCUCCAGAGGUAGGGUUUCAGGUGUCUAGAGACUCUCCAGAGGUAGGGUUUCAGGUGUAUAGAGACUCUCCAGAGGUAGGGUUUCAGGUGUCUAGAGACUCUCCAGAGGUAGGGUUUCAGGUGUCUAGAGACUCUCCAGAGGUAGGGUUUCAGGUGUCUAGAGACUCUCCAGAGGUAGGGUUUCAGGUGUUUAGAGACUCUCCAGAGGUAGGGUUUCAGGUGUCUAGAGACUCCAGAGGUAGGGUUUCAGGUGUCUAGAGACUCUCCAGAGGUAGGGUUUCAGGUGUCUAGAGACUCUCCAGAGGUAGGGUUUCAGGUGUCUAGAGACUCCAGAGGUAGGGUUUCAGGUGUUUAGGAAAGAUGAGCAGGGACUCUGCUGUCCUGACUUCAGGGGGAAGCUGGUUCCACCAUUGGGGUGCCAGGACAGAGUAGAGCUUGGACUGGGCUGAGUGGACAUUGGGGUGCCAGGACAGAGAAGAGCUUGGACUGGGCUGAGUGGACAUUGGGGUGCCAGGACAGAGAAUAGCUUGGACUGGGCUGAGUGAACAUUGGUGUGCCAGGACAGAGAAUAGCUUGGACUGGGCUGAGUGAACAUUGGUGUGC
rnacentral:lncRNA from 1 species